UUUUUUUUUUGGUCAUUUUUAGCAUGGGAGCUUGGAGAUGGAGCUACCUUCUGCCUCACCACAGAGGGCUGGGGUACAGCUGAGGUUGAAGGCAGCAUGGGGCAGACUUGAAUGAGGACAGAAUGAAAAGACCUGUUCUCUGCCUCCCCAUGAUGUAAACAGGUGUAGAUUUGUCAUGUCUUUAACACCGUUGAGCAAGAAUAUUUCUCAAUUACCAAAAUCACACAAAAAUGAAAUGGAUUUGCCACUGGCACAACACUGUGUAUAACAUGCAAACUAACAUUUUCCCUUUGUGCAGUUUUACGGUCUAUCUUUCUCAGUAAGACUUGCAUGGGGGAAGCUUUCUUGAAUGAGAAAUCACUGCAGUGCAGCAUUACUUAUGGGAUUUUUUGUACUCCACGUGUGCUACAGAAAGAAAAAUACUACUGUUCCUGUUAAAAUAUGCUGUUGUAUUUUUAAUAAUGUGCAUAACUCCCAGGGUAAAGUCCAGAAACAGAUAUACUUCAUCUCUUUUCUGAUCUGAAACUUCAUAGACUUUACAUUUACUUUUGAAAUGUAGAGCUCCCCUCGUUUAAAGAGUAAAGUACAUUUACUGUGCAACUUAUUGUUCUUAAAAACAUGCAGGAUUGUUGUAUUAGGCGUUAGCGGGGAUUCGAGAUGUAAUGGGAUGUAGGCCCCCCCCCCAUGCUGUAACGGGCAAGGACGAACUGUCCUCAGAGAGACGUAAACAACGUGGAGGAACUUAUCUGAGGAAAAUACAAAUGAUGGAUAAUCGCAACCGACAGCAAGUUGCUUACCAAAGUAUUAAGCAAUCCCGCCCACCGACCAGGAGCAGUCACGCUGACUCAGCAUCUCGUGUACAGCGUGUGCCGUAAGAAUGAUUGGACAAAGGAUACGCAACUAAACCAUGGAUUGGUAGAAUGACACGUGUACAGAUGUAAUCAGUGUUAACAAAGAUGUACUUAAAGGCUUUCACAACCCCAAUAAACACCAUUUGCUGCAUCCCCAUAUUGGUGUCUGUGUCGCAAUGGCCCUAGCGAGGGGAGACCGCUAGCCCCCCGGCAGAAAGCGCCUUGGUAAUGGGGCUGUCACAGGAUAUUUAUUCUGACAGCUUGUAUACCUGCUUUGUCUGAGUAAUUCUUCAUAAAAAAAGAAUGUCUGACAAGUUUAAUUUUUAUGAAGUCCCUAUGCAUCACAUCCUGAGGCUUGAAACCCUCCUGUAUUGUAGAACCUGGAAAGGAUGAAUUUUAUGCAUUGUAAGGGUGGCAGAUUGCUAAUCAAGAAUCCUUCACAUUUUGUCCAAACCUAGAGCAAGUAGACUGCAGCCCACAAGACACAGAGAAUGGACACAGCCUGGACAGUUUCUUCCUUGUUAUAAAUCAUACUUCAUGGAGGUCUAAGACUGGAGAAAGGAGGAAAAAAAAAAAAACAAAGGUUGUUUGCGUAUAUUUUGCUUCAUUUAUUUUAUCUACUGAUUCAUGUUCUUGACUGAACUUAGGUUCAUAAACUCUAGCAUCUACUGACUGCUGAAGUGCUGCAAGAGCACAGAUUUAAGAACGUACAGAUUAUGGUCAGGAAAAUACCACUUUCUGCAAUCACAAGCAGUAGAUAUUUGAUCAAGAAUAUUGGAGACAUUGAUAGAUGCCAAAAAGAUGCUCCCAGAAGACUAAAGAUCUAUGGAACAGACUGAGAGCUACAAGAGAACAGGAGAGGUUCAUUGCUGUUUCCUACAAUCCCUUCAAAAGUAGGAAAUGUUUCAUGUAAAUCUAAGAGCUUUCUGGUUACUGAGCCAGGCAACAAUUAUGAAGGAAAACAUUCCACCAUUGGAAUAAAACAAGCAAAAAAAAUCCCAACCAAAAAAGGCAUACAGAACAGUGACUCCUUUCAAUCUAAGCUGAGAAAAUGUUUUUUUUCCUGAUGGCAGAUGUAUUGAUCAUUUUACCACUGAAUAUUAGUGACAGCAAAACUAUUGCAUGAUGACAAAUUUUUCAAAUUGAUGUAGACAGAAUCCAGAACAAAUGAGAGUAUAAAACAAAUCCUCCUUUCCUCUAUUAAACAUACAUGUGAUUUUCAGUAUACUAUUCACCCUUAGUUAUAUUGCUCUGUUACUGCUCAGUUACUACUGAAAAACAGCACCUUUUGAACUUGAUUUUUAAUUUUGCGUAGAGACAAAGGGAAGUUUUGCACUCAUUGUUGAAUUGUGAACUUCAGCUGCAAAUAUUUGUUUUUGCCCUCUAAAGAACUGUUUUUGUUUAGAAGAACAUUGUUUUUCAUUUUCUAAAUGUGACACCUACAAAUAUGGGGCAAGUGGCACAGAAGUCCUUAAGUAAAAUACAUUUAUAUUAAAUUGGACUUACUCUACUAGAGUAGCUUUAUUCUUAUUUAGCUUAGUACAUGAUGCAAAUACUAAGUGUUCCUCUGCAAUAAAAUUGCACUGGACAUUUUAAAUCAUCAUUCCUUUCUAAAUUCAAAUUCAUAUCAAUUUUCAGUUCAUGGUAAAUACAAUUCAAAGGAUCCAAACUAAUUUGAUCUUCAGCAGCAUAACUAUGCACUUGUCCUUCACCUCAAAUCUCUAAAUUCUCUUUUAAUUUUUCAAAAUUAUUUUAUUGAAUAUUCUAGCAGCAAAUUUUUGGAUCUUUACCUAGUCAUGGAAAACUAAGAUGUUAUUCAGUGUGGCCUUUUCAACUUUGAUACUUCUCUAGGCUGUCAAUAAACAGGUAUGUUAUUGUACAGUGGCUGUUCACAGAUUCAGCAACACAGUUGGAACACUCUUAGUUUUCAAAGAGAGGUCAGCUCUUGUUUUUACUUGCAACUUUGCCUCAUGGGAUCUAAAACAAUCUGAGACACUUCAGUAAUUUUUCAUAUGUGGUUCUGCUGAGUUUGUUUUGCUGUUACUUGGAAAGGAUGAGAGUUGUUAUCUAGUUGUACAAUCAAAAAUCAUUACUUCUAUCUGUGUGAUAUGCCUAGCUGUGAUACUGAACACCAUGUAUUUUAUUUUCUAGCACUGAGGUUGCUUGAUGAAUCAGAGGCAGAACUCCAGCUUGCUUUUUGUUAACAUAUGAAAGGACUCCUACAGAUACUUUGAGUCUAAAAGUAAUUGGGUGAAUACAUCUUUCCCAAUGCUGUAAAAGCCGGCAGAGUAAUUUUCUUAGUCUGGACUACUAGAUGUCUGGACCCAGUCCAACUCUAUUCUGAAAGUAUAAUGUAAAAUCAUAGAAUGCCUUGGGUUUAAAGGGACAAUCUCCCUGCCAUAGGCGAGGACAACUUCUGCUAGACCAGGUAGCCCAGGGAUGCAUCCAACCUGGCUUUGGUCACCUCCAGGGAUGGAGCAUCAACAGCUUCUCUGGGCAGCCUGUUCCUCAUCACCCUCUGAGUAAAGAAUUUCCUCCUGAAAUCUAAUCUGAAUCUUCCCUCAAGUUCCCCUUGUGGCACUGUUUGCAUGCUGUAGUUUUUGUCAGGGCUGAUUAACACAGGGACAGAUCACCCAAAUACUCAGAGCUUCAGGGCCAGAGUUGCCAUGCAGUAAACAGAUAUGCUGGUAUAGGGCAUGUUCAUAUGUCUUGCCCUGAGCAACCCAGUCACCGAUUUCCCCCUUUGCAAAAGUAACUGCAGAAUUAAAACACAAGCAACACUUCCACAAAAGAGAUAACAGCUUUUUUCCAACGUAUGGGAGAGAUGAAGCUCUGAGUAAUCGACUCUUGAUCUUCCCUGAAGAGCUGAGUAUUAAUUAGCAGUUGAUUACGAAGAUCGCAGUCUAGACAACCAGUAUCUAUCCAUGCAAUGCAUUAGUGCAACCUUUAUUAGUACAGAUAAUAGUCUUCUUUGGAGAGCUGUGGGGACUUGUGAGACAACAUUGGUCUAGUCCAAAAGGGAAGAAAUUGGAAGGCAGAUGGUUUAUCAUUCCUCUGCCUUGUUAGUCUUCCUAUUGUUCAGCCUUUGGGCUGAAGGAUCAGGUGGAGAAGUUUCUGCUUUUUCUUAAGCUAUUUUAUGUCUGGUCAUUGACAAUAAGACAAUAUAUAGUGGAUGUUCUUUUUAAUUAACAAUUGGGUUGUUGAAAAUAUGCAAUUACUAAGUGCACUUUUAGGUUUGAAAGUAGAAAUUAUUUCAGGAUAUUUUGUUAAAUGUCAUAAGGGAGUAAUUUUUGUAUUUUGUUCUUCACAAUCAAGAAUGCCUUCAAUGCUAUGUACUUCAGAUUUACUUGUUACUAAAUUUUAGGUAAUUGAUAUUUCAUAUUAACUGAUAGUUUUUCUUUUCAGUGUUGGACUUUUAAAAAUCAAUAAUUCAAGAGAAGUAAAAUAAAGAAGCAAAGCAACAUUUUCUCAAUCUUCAACAAAUAAUAUUAUUUAGAUGUUUUAUUCCAUUAUUUGUCCCCCAGAGUUAUAUGUUACGUUGGUGGUGACACUGAAGUUAUAAGAAUGUACUCUUACUAUGUGUGACCAUAUUGUUGACUUGCUUUUGGUGAGAAAGUAAACAUUUCCUCUGUUUGUGAUCUGCUAGUAAACAGAUCUCUCUUUGUUGUGUGGAAUUCAAGUGAUUUUGUUUCCUUCUACUCUUCAAAAUUCAAUACCUCAUCUUCAGCUGUUACUUAGAUAUUGUAGCCGAAAGAGAUGUUGUGCACAUAAGGAAGAUGAUGAAAAAGUAUUUGCCCUAAGGCAAAAAGAAAAUCGUCUCGUUCUACAUAAAGCAAUCAGGUAAAGGCUGCGCCACAUGACCAGCAUUAGAAGUGGAGCUGUAGAGAGGGGAAGAAACUGCUGGAAAAUGAGCUGCUGUGAGCAGAAACGA